ACGCUCGACACCUACGGGGAGACAGCAGGUGGGGAAUAUUGCACAAUGGGGGAAACCCUGAUGCAGCGAUGCCGCGUGAAGGAAGAAGUAUCUCGGUAUGUAAACUUCUAUCAGCAGGGAAGAAAAUGACGGUACCUGACUAAGAAGCCCCGGCUAACGACGUGCCAGCAGCCGCGGUAAUCUGAGCGGGCUGGCAAGGC
rnacentral:rRNA from 1 species